rnacentral:rRNA from 1 species
UACGUAGGGUGCAAGCGUUGUCCGGAAUUAUUGGGCGUAAAGAGCUCGUAGGCGGUCUGUCGCGUCGGAUGUGAAAAUCCAGGGCUCAACCCUGGACCUGCAUUCGAUACGGGCAGACUAGAGUUCGGUAGGGGAGACUGGAAUUCCUGGUGUAGCGGUGAAAUGCGUUGAGAUCGGAAGGAACGCCCGUGGCGAAAGCGAGGUCCUGGACGUUUACUGACGCUGAGACGCGAAAGCCAGGGGAGCGAACGGG